rnacentral:rRNA from 1 species
CGGGUAGGCGGUCUUGUAAGUCAGAUGUGAAAGCCCGGGGCUCAACCCCGGAAGUGCAUUUGAGACUGCGAGACUUGAGUAUGGGAGGGGGAAGUGGAAUUCCUGGUGUAGAGGUGAAAUUCGUAGAUAUCAGGAGGAACACCAGUGGCGAAGGCGACUUCCUGGACCAAUACUGACGCUGAUGCGCGAAGGCGUGGGGAGCAAACA